GGUGAACACUGAGGCUUAGAGAGGGUAAAUAACUUGCCCAAAGUCUGGAAAAGUUUGCCAACCCCUGGUCUUACUCCUCAUUAAGGUUUCCCUUCCCCUCCACCGUUCCCAAAUCUGAGUAUUCCAGAAGAGUUACCUUUUUUUAAUGAUACAACUGUUUUGCAGGCCUAAGACUUCUGCAGAGGUGGCGCCCGCCUGUAAUCCCAGCACUUUGGGAGGCCGAGACGGGCGGAUCACUUGAGCCCAGGAGUUUGAGACCAGCCAGGGCAACAUGGCGAAACCCCAUCUCUACAAUAAAUACAAAAAUUAGCUGGGCAUGGUGGCAUACACCUGUGGUCCCAGUUACUCGGGAGGUGGAGGUGGAAGGAUCCCUUGAGCCUCUGGAGAUGGAGUUUGCAGUGAGCUGUGAUUGCGCCACUGCACUCCAGCCUGGGCGACAGAGUGAGACGCUGUCUGAAAACAAAACAAAACAAAAGAAUUCUGCAAGAACUUAUAACAGGCGCAUCCCUGGGAGCAUUAUCCACCACGGGACUAGGCACUGGGUAGCCUGUAAAAUAAAGUAAGAGCCGUCUCUGGACCCAGAAAAUUUACCAUCAUUUUGUACUGGAAAGACAUGCCCUAGAAAACAAUAGAAAGCACGACUGUACAUGAUUCGAUGC